rnacentral:rRNA from 1 species
ACUUUCAACAAUGGGUCUCUUGGCUCUCGCAUCGACGAAGAACGCAGCGAAAUGCGAUAAGUAAUGUGAAUUGCAGAAUUCCGUGAAUCAUCAAAUUUUUGAACGCAAAUUGCACUUCUUGGUAUUCCAAGAAGUACACCUGCUUGAGGGU